UUUAAACUCGGUUCAUCCUAUCUCGAAACUAUAUAUGAAAAAAAUUGAACUGAGUUUGAACCGCGUCGGAGAAAACGGCCAUUAUUCAUUGAAUGGAGAAAAAACGAGGGAAAUUGAUCUCUGUCAACGUCGUCAACUCGGCCGAACAAUUUUCGAUUUCUGAUUGGUGUAAAUAAUUUCGAGCUCUAGCAGCUUGUUCGGUGAUUAUUGGAUCAAAAUCGACGAAUCGGCUAAUGGCUGUUUUCUCCGACGCGGUUCAAACUCGCAAUAUUUUUCAUAGUUUAUAUUUGAGAUAGGAUUAAACUCAGAUUAACGUUGUAGAAAACGGGCAUGACUUGACAAAAAUGUAUUCGUAAUAUCCUGCGAAUCAAAAAUCCUCAAAAUUAUUAUAAAAGAUAAAACGAUCAACAAAAAACCAGUACAAUAUAUGCGAGUAGAAUGAAUUUCAACCAUAUUGGAUACAGGAGAAGGUAACUGUUUUGAACUCAAGGGAUCCAAGAAAACUGAUGUCUUUAUAAUGGAAACUUUUAGUGGGGAUGUUUUUGAAAAAUGAUCCUAAUCAAAGUACUUCAGAAUAAUAGGACCUCAUUGUCAGCUUAAUCGUUAUUCAUCCGGUGAGCCUAUUCCUGAAGGUAAUAUUCCCAAUCUUACAACUGCCAUGUGAGGGACAAUUAUUUGUAACGCUGGAUUAACCCCAGAAAUCAAGGAAAAAAUUCAGAAAAGAGUGAAAUACACGGGUGGCACAUUUAUGAAACAACUGAAGGCCUGUGCCACUCAUUUAAUAAGCGAUUCUGUCAUGUCACAAAGUACGAGGUAAUGGAAAAUAAUGACAACCUAUCGUAUUUGAUCAAUAACCUCAUGUCCAGUCCUCACAUACUCGCAGUACUCAAAGUCAAUAUCGGAAGACAGCCUAUAUUAUCUUUGAAUAAAGUAAAUUUUGAUGGUGGUGGGGGUAAUAUUGACAUGUAAUUUUCUUGAAUUAUCAUCUGUUGACAUAUUCUUCAGCACGCGUGCUAGGUGAAUAUCAAAAUUUGUUCGAUGAAAAAAUGAAUUCUGUAUGUUUUUACGUAUAUUUGUAUUUCGUUUAAAAGUCCAAUUUAUAUUUAUCAUCUAUCAAUAUUGUAAAAUUUGAGCUUCAUUCCAUUUUUUUUCGUUGAUGUUAUUUUUCUACAAAUGCGCAAAAUAUGAUAGCAUAAAUAUUAUAUAUUAAAAGAAAAAAGUCGACAAUCGAUUGUGAUAUAAAUAAAGGAAUGAUUUAAUGA